rnacentral:misc_RNA from 1 species
GAUGAAGAACGUAGCGAAAUGCGAUACGUAAUGUGAAUUGCAGAAUUCAGUGAAUCAUCGAGUCUUUGAACGCACAUUGCGCCCCCUGGUAUUCUGGCGGGCAUGCCUGUCCGAGCGUCAUUUCAACCCCUCAAGCCCUGCUUGGUGUUGGGGCCCCCUACGUGCGCCGUAGGCCCCGAAUUCCAGUGGCGGGCUCGCCGCGAACCCGAGCGUAGUAGCUUUUGCCUCGCUCAGGGCCCGCGGCGGGCGCCUGCCGUGAAAGAACCCACUAUUCUAAAGGUUGACCUCGGAUCAGGUAGGAAUACCCGCUGAACUUAAGCAUAUCAAUAAGCGGAGGA